GCCCUGGCAGUCAGAGGCGAUGAAGGACGUGCUAAUCUGCGAUAAGCGUCGGUAAGGUGAUAUGAACCGUUAUAACCGGCGAUUUCCGAAUGGGGAAACCCAGUGUGAUUCGUCACACUAUCAUUAACUGAAUCCAUAGGUUAAUGAGGCGAACCGGGGGAACUGAAACAUCUAAGUACCCCGAGGAAAAGAAAUCAACCGAGAUUCCCCCAGUAGCGGCGAGCGAACGGGGAGGAGCCCAGAGCCUGAAUCAGUGUGUGUGUUAGUGGAAGCGUCUGGAAAGGCGCGCGAUACAGGGUGACAGCCCCGUACACAAAAAUGCACAUGCUGUGAGCUCGAUGAGUAGGGCGGGACACGUGGUAUCCUGUCUGAAUAUGGGGGGACCAUCCUCCAAGGCUAAAUACUCCUGACUGACCGAUAGUGAACCAGUACCGUGAGGGAAAGGCGAAAAGAACCCCGGCGAGGGGAGUGAAAAAGAACCUGAAACCGUGUACGUACAAGCAGUGGGAGCACAGAGCAAUCUGUGUGACUGCGUACCUUUUGUAUAAUGGGUCAGCGACUUAUAUUCUGUAGCAAGGUUAACCGAAUAGGGGAGCCGAAGGGAAACCGAGUCUUAACUGGGCGUUAAGUUGCAGGGUAUAGACCCGAAACCCGGUGAUCUAGCCAUGGGCAGGUUGAAGGUUGGGUAACACUAACUGGAGGACCGAACCGACUAAUGUUGAAAAAUUAGCGGAUGACUUGUGGCUGGGGGUGAAAGGCCAAUCAAACCGGGAGAUAGCUGGUUCUCCCCGAAAGCUAUUUAGGUAGCGCCUCGUGAAUUCAUCUCCGGGGGUAGAGCACUGUUUCGGCAAGGGGGUCAUCCCGACUUACCAACCCGAUGCAAACUGCGAAUACCGGAGAAUGUUAUCACGGGAGACACACGGCGGGUGCUAACGUCCGUCGUGAAGAGGGAAACAACCCAGACCGCCAGCUAAGGUCCCAAAGUCAUGGUUAAGUGGGAAACGAUGUGGGAAGGCCCAGACAGCCAGGAUGUUGGCUUAGAAGCAGCCAUCAUUUAAAGAAAGCGUAAUAGCUCACUGGUCGAGUCGGCCUGCGCGGAAGAUGUAACGGGGCUAAACCAUGCACCGAAGCUGCGGCAGCGACGCUUAUGCGUUGUUGGGUAGGGGAGCGUUCUGUAAGCCUGCGAAGGUGUGCUGUGAGGCAUGCUGGAGGUAUCAGAAGUGCGAAUGCUGACAUAAGUAACGAUAAAGCGGGUGAAAAGCCCGCUCGCCGGAAGACCAAGGGUUCCUGUCCAACGUUAAUCGGGGCAGGGUGAGUCGACCCCUAAGGCGAGGCCGAAAGGCGUAGUCGAUGGGAAACAGGUUAAUAUUCCUGUACUUGGUGUUACUGCGAAGGGGGGACGGAGAAGGCUAUGUUGGCCGGGCGACGGUUGUCCCGGUUUAAGCGUGUAGGCUGGUUUUCCAGGCAAAUCCGGAAAAUCAAGGCUGAGGCGUGAUGACGAGGCACUACGGUGCUGAAGCAACAAAUGCCCUGCUUCCAGGAAAAGCCUCUAAGCAUCAGGUAACAUCAAAUCGUACCCCAAACCGACACAGGUGGUCAGGUAGAGAAUACCAAGGCGCUUGAGAGAACUCGGGUGAAGGAACUAGGCAAAAUGGUGCCGUAACUUCGGGAGAAGGCACGCUGAUAUGUAGGUGAAGCGACUUGCUCGUGGAGCUGAAAUCAGUCGAAGAUACCAGCUGGCUGCAACUGUUUAUUAAAAACACAGCACUGUGCAAACACGAAAGUGGACGUAUACGGUGUGACGCCUGCCCGGUGCCGGAAGGUUAAUUGAUGGGGUCAGCGCAAGCGAAGCUCUUGAUCGAAGCCCCGGUAAACGGCGGCCGUAACUAUAACGGUCCUAAGGUAGCGAAAUUCCUUGUCGGGUAAGUUCCGACCUGCACGAAUGGCGUAAUGAUGGCCAGGCUGUCUCCACCCGAGACUCAGUGAAAUUGAACUCGCUGUGAAGAUGCAGUGUACCCGCGGCAAGACGGAAAGACCCCGUGAACCUUUACUAUAGCUUGACACUGAACAUUGAGCCUUGAUGUGUAGGAUAGGUGGGAGGCUUUGAAGUGUGGACGCCAGUCUGCAUGGAGCCGACCUUGAAAUACCACCCUUUAAUGUUUGAUGUUCUAACGUGGACCCGUAAUCCGGGUUGCGGACAGUGUCUGGUGGGUAGUUUGACUGGGGCGGUCUCCUCCUAAAGAGUAACGGAGGAGCACGAAGGUUGGCUAAUCCUGGUCGGACAUCAGGAGGUUAGUGCAAUGGCAUAAGCCAGCUUGACUGCGAGCGUGACGGCGCGAGCAGGUGCGAAAGCAGGUCAUAGUGAUCCGGUGGUUCUGAAUGGAAGGGCCAUCGCUCAACGGAUAAAAGGUACUCCGGGGAUAACAGGCUGAUACCGCCCAAGAGUUCAUAUCGACGGCGGUGUUUGGCACCUCGAUGUCGGCUCAUCACAUCCUGGGGCUGAAGUAGGUCCCAAGGGUAUGGCUGUUCGCCAUUUAAAGUGGUACGCGAGCUGGGUUUAGAACGUCGUGAGACAGUUCGGUCCCUAUCUGCCGUGGGCGCUGGAGAACUGAGGGGGGCUGCUCCUAGUACGAGAGGACCGGAGUGGACGCAUCACUGGUGUUCGGGUUGUCAUGCCAAUGGCACUGCCCGGUAGCUAAAUGCGGAAGAGAUAAGUGCUGAAAGCAUCUAAGCACGAAACUUGCCCCGAGAUGAGUUCUCCCUGACUCCUUGAGAGUCCUGAAGGAACGUUGAAGACGACGACGUUGAUAGGCCGGGUGUGUAAGCGCAGCGAUGCGUUGAGCUAACCGGUACUAAUGAACCGUGAG
rnacentral:rRNA from 1 species